UGAAGCCCAGCUUGCUGGGUGGAUUAGUGGCGAACGGGUGAGUAACACGUGAGCAACCUGCCCCUGACUCUGGGAUAACAGCCGGAAACGGUUGCUAAUACCGGAUAUGCAUCAUGGCCGCAUGGUCUGUGGUGGGAAAGAUUUUUCGGUUGGGGAUGGGCUCGCGGCCUAUCAGCUUGUUGGUGAGGUAGUGGCUCACCAAGGCGUCGACGGGUAGCCGGCCUGAGAGGGUGACCGGCCACACUGGGACUGAGACACGGCCCAGACUCCUACGGGAGGCAGCAGUGGGGAAUAUUGCACAAUGGGCGGAAGCCUGAUGCAGCAACGCCGCGUGAGGGAUGACGGCCUUCGGGUUGUAAACCUCUUUUAGCAGGGAAGAAGCGAAAGUGACGGUACCUGCAGAAAAAGCGCCGGCUAACUACGUGCCAGCAGCCGCGGUAAUACGUAGGGCGCAAGCGUUAUCCGGAAUUAUUGGGCGUAAAGAGCUCGUAGGCGGUUUGUCGCGUCUGCUGUGAAAACCCGAGGCUCAACCUCGGGCCUGCAGUGGGUACGGGCAGACUAGAGUGCGGUAGGGGAGAUUGGAAUUCCUGGUGUAGCGGUGGAAUGCGCAGAUAUCAGGAGGAACACCGAUGGCGAAGGCAGAUCUCUGGGCCGUUACUGACGCUGAGGAGCGAAAGGGUGGGGAGCAAACAGGCUUAGAUACCCUGGUAGUCCACCCCGUAAACGUUGGGAACUAGUUGUGGGGGCCUUUCCACGGUCUCCGUGACGCAGCUAACGCAUUAAGUUCCCCG
rnacentral:rRNA from 1 species